GAUGAACGCUGGCGGCGUGCCUAAUACAUGCAAGUAGAGCGAACGGACGAGAAGUUUGCUUCUCUGAUGUUAGCGGCGGACGGGUGAGUAACACGGGGAUAACCUACCUAUAAGACUGGGAUAACUUCGGGAAACCGGAGCUAAUACCGGAUAAUAUUUUGAACCGCAUGGUUCAAAAGUGAAAGACGGUCUUGCUGUCACUUAUAGAUGGAUCCGCGCUGCAUUAGCUAGUUGGUAAGGUAACGGCUUACCAAGGCAACGAUUCAUAGCCGCCCUGGGAGGUUGAUCGGCCACACUGGAACUGAGACACGGUCCAGACUCCUACGGGAGGCAGAAGUAGGGAAUCUUCCGCAAUGGGCGAAGGCCUGACGGAGCAACGCCGCGUGAGUGAUGAAGGUCUUCGGAUCGUAAAACUCUGUUAUUAGGGAGGAACAUAUGUGUAAGUAACUGUGCACAUCUUGACGUUACCUAAUCAGAAAGCCACGGCUAACUACGUG
rnacentral:rRNA from 1 species